rnacentral:rRNA from 1 species
UCGAGAAUCUUCGGCAAUGAGCGCAAGCUUGACCGAGCGACGCCGCGUGCGGGAUGAAGGCCUUCGGGUUGUAAACCGCUUUCAGUGGGGAGGAAAUCGCUAGGGGUUCUCCCCUAGUGUUGACCUAUCUUCAGAAGAAGGACGGGCUAAGUUCGUGCCAGCAGCCGCGGUAAUACGAACCGUCCAAACGUUAUUCGGAUUUAUUGGGCUUAAAGGGUACGUAGGCGGCGCUAUCAGUCGGGUGUGAAAUCCCUCGGCUCAACCGAGGAACUGCGCCCGAUACUGUAGUGCUUGAGGGAGACAGAGGUAAGCGGAACUGAUGGUGGAGCUGUGAAAUGCGUUGAUAUCAUCAGGAACACCGGUGGCGAAAGCGGCUUACUGGGUCUCUUCUGACGCUGAGGUACGAAAGCUAGGGGAGCGAACGG